AUUGAACGCUGGCGGAAUGCUUUACACAUGCAAGUCGAACGGUAGAGGGGGCAACCCCUCGAGAGUGGCGAACGGGUGAGUGAUAUAUCGGAACGUGCCCAGUCGUGGGGGAUAACGUAGCGAAAGUUACGCUAAUACCGCAUACGAUCUAAGGAUGAAAGCGGGGGAUCGCAAGACCUCGCGCGAUUGGAGCGGCCGAUAUCAGAUUAGGUAGUUGGUGGGGUAAAGGCUCACCAAGCCAACGAUCUGUAGCUGGUCUGAGAGGACGACCAGCCACACUGGAACGGAGACACGGUCCAGACUCCUACGGGAGGCAGCAGUGGGGAAUUUUGGACAAUGGACGCAAGUCUGAUCCAGCCAUUCCGCGUGCAGGAUGAAGGCCCUCGGGUUGUAAACUGCUUUUGUACGGAACGAAAAGGUCUCUCUUAAUACGGGGGGCUCAUGACGGUACCGUAAGAAUAAGCACCGGCUAACUACGUGCCAGCCGCCGCGUAA
rnacentral:rRNA from 1 species